AGUGAACGCUGGCGGUAGGCCUAACACAUGCCAGUCGAACGGCAGCACAGUAAGAGCUUGCUCUUACGGGUGGCGAGUGGCGGACGGGUGAGGAAUACAUCGGAAUCUACUUUUUCGUGGGGGAUAACGUAGGGAAACUUACGCUAAUACCGCAUACGACCUACGGGUGAAAGCAGGGGAUCUUCGGACCUUGCGCGAUUGAAUGAGCCGAUGUCGGAUUAGCUAGUUGGCGGGGUAAAGGCCCACCAAGGCGACGAUCCGUAGCUGGCCUGAGAGGAUGAUCAGCCACACUGGAACUGGGACACGGACCAGACUCCUACGGGAGGCAGCAGUGGGGAAUAUUGGACAAUGGGCGCAAGCCUGAUCCAGCCAUACCGCGUGGGUGAAGAAGGCCUUCGGGUUGUAAAGCCCUUUUGUUGGGAAAGAAAAGCAGCAGGUUAAUACCCCGCUGUUCUGACGGUACCCAAAGAAUAAGCACCGGCUAACUUCGUG
rnacentral:rRNA from 1 species